rnacentral:rRNA from 1 species
GUAGGGAAUCUUCCACAAUGGACGAAAGUCUGAUGGAGCAACGCCGCGUGAGUGAAGAAGGUUCUCGGAUCGUAAAACUCUGUUGUGAGGGAAGAACAAGUACCGGAGUAACUGCCGGUACCUUGACGGUACCUCAUUAGAAAGCCACGGCUAACUACGUGCCAGCAGCCGCGUUAAUACGUAGGUGGCAAGCGUUGUCCGGAAUCAUUGGGCGUAAAGCGCGCGCGGGCGGUCCCUUAAGUCUGAUGUGAAAGCCCACGGCGCAACCGUGGAGGGUCAUUGGAAACUGGGGGACUUGAGUGCAGAAGAGGAAAGCGGAAUUCCAAGUGUAGCGGUGAAAUGCGUAGAGAUUUGGAGGAACACCAGUGGCGAAGGCGGCUUUCUGGUCUGUAACUGACGCUGAGGCGCGAAAGCGUGGGGAGCAAACAGGAUUAGAAACCCCAGUAGUCC